GAUAAACGCUGGCGGCGCGCAUGAGACAUGCAAGUCGAACGGACGAUCGAGGCUUGCUUCGAUCGUUAGUGGCGGACGGCUGAGUAACGCGUAGGUGACCUGCCCCGAAGUGGGGAAUAACUGCCCGAAAGGGUGGCUAAUACCGCAUGUGGUGGUGUGUUCAAUCACACCAGUAAAGCCGCAAGGCGCUUCGGGAGGGGCCUGCGUCCGAUUAGCUCGUUGGUGGGGUAACGGCNCACCAAGGCGACGACGGGUAGCCGGCCUGAGAGGGCGACCGGCCACACUGGGACUGAGACACGGCCCAGACUCCUACGGGAGGCAGCAGUGGGGAAUCUUGCGCAAUGGGCGAAAGCCUGACGCAGCGACGCCGCGUGAGGGAUGACGGCCUGGU
rnacentral:rRNA from 1 species